CCUACGGGAGGCAGCAGUGAGGAAUAUUGGUCAAUGGACGAGAGUCUGAACCAGCCAAGUAGCGUGAAGGAUGACUGCCCUAUGGGUUGUAAACUUCUUUUAUAUGGGAAUAAAAUGUUCCACGUGUGGGAUUUUGUAUGUACCAUAUGAAUAAGGAUCGGCUAACUGCGUGCCAGCAGCCGCGGUAAUACGGAGGAUCCGAGCGUUAUCCGGAUUUAUUGGGGUUAAAGGGAGCGUAGGUGGAUUGGUAAGUCAGUUGUGAAAGUUUGCGGCUCAACCGUAAAAUUGCAGUUGAAACUGGCAGUCUUGAGUACAGUAGAGGUGUGCGGAAUUCGUGGUGUAGCGGUGAAAUGCUUAGAUAUCACGAAGAACUCCGAUUGCGAAGGCAGUUCACUGGACUGCAACUGACACUGAGGCUCGAAAGUGUGGGUAUCAAACAGGAUUAGAUACCCCGGUAGUC
rnacentral:rRNA from 1 species